UAAAACAAAGCAUUGCGAUGGCCGCUGGUCGGUGUUGACGCAAUGUGAUUUCUGCUCAGUGCUCAGAAUGUCAUCGUGAAGAGAUUCAUCAAAGCGCGGGUAAACGGCGGGAGUAACUAUGACUCUCUUUGGGACGUAAGCCUGCGGGGUGUAAUGCCCUGCUCGAAGU
rfam:Ixodes scapularis strain Wikel colony gcontig_1108378990016, whole genome shotgun sequence.